AAGCUACGCUAGCACAAAUUUAACAAAUACCGCGCGCGAACACAAAUAAUUCUACGAUCCAAUAAAAUAAAUCAUCGCAAUACAUGCAGUUGAACUACUCCAAUAAAUAAAUUACCGCAAUACAUGCAGUUGAACUACUCCUGCCGACAACUUUUAAUGAUACUUAAUAUAAUAAAUAUGCAAGUAAACGAUGAAAACAAAUAUGUACUUACCAAUCUUACAACAUGGCCGCCUCAACUAAUUCCUGCUGCAAAUAAAGACUAAAAACACAAGCAACAAAACAAAACGGGCUAAACUUCUAAUUACAUAUGCAACACUCGCAACAAAACUUUCUAAUAAAAGUGCAAAACCCUAAGUAAAAACAAAAUAAAUACGCUAAACAACCAUAAUUAUAAAUAAAUAAUCGAUUUAACAAAGCAAAUAAUAAAAACACUUAACAAUAAAUUAAUAAAUAAAACAAAUGUUAAAAUGGAUAGACAAAACAAAUAAAUAAACUUAUAACUAAUACACGAUAUUUCAAUAAUAUACCCACCUCGCUAUACACGCUACUGAGUGAAUCUUGCAGUCAAAUCUAACAAACAAAAAAUAAAUAAAUAAUAAUAAUAAAUCCAAAAACUUAAAUAUAAACAAAGUUAAAGCCCAUAGCAAGCUAAUAAUAAAUUAAUAUUCUUACUAAUAAAACCAACAAUAAAUAAAAAUCUCAAAAAAAAAUCAAGCAAAGCAAAUAAAUAAACAAUCACGAUAUAAGAAAUUCUAAAUAAAGACGAACACUAUGGAAAGAAACAAAACUAGCCUCUCUCCUGGAUCCACGGAGUACUUACAACCUGGACAUAGCUACAAAUAAGAGCAUCGACAGCAGCGCCUUCUUCUGUCUUCCCCUCCGGGCCACUGAAGACUGGAUGACAGCGACUGAUGACGCCCCUAGAGUUAUCAAAUCAACAAUACAACUAACAAACCAGCUAAAUGUAAUUAUAUUUAAGAAUAGUAAUCCAAAUUAAAUUUAAAGAAUAGUAAUCCAAAUUGAAUUUAAAGAAUAGUAAUCUAAAUUGAAUUUAACGAAGAAAAUCUGACUUAGUCUUUACUCUUCCCCACCAAAUUAAAUCUGUAUAAAUAACUACAACUUUACUAGAUAGAUAUAUAUAUGUAUAUAAAAAAGAAAACACUCAAUUAUUUGUAAAAUUCAAACUUUAUUAAUAAACACUUAUAUUAAGUUUCGCCUACUACUAGCUUAUAAUACUUACCACAUAAGUGAAUUGUAAAUAAGCUGCCAACUAAUUUCUAGAAAGUACUAACGCAAAGCACUGAGAAAUGAAUAAAGACACCCUGUUCCCUCUUCUCUCACCUUUACGCUGCUGGGCAGCCUAAAGCUUGAGGCGAGAAAAAGCAGGGCAAUUGUGUAUGUGAUUCCCUCGCAUGCAGGCUGAAA